rnacentral:rRNA from 1 species
CAUGUAGGCGGUUGUUUAAGUCUGAUGUGGAAGCCCCGGGCUCAACCCGGGAAGUGCAUUGGAUACUGGAUAACUUGAGUACGGGAGAGGAAAGUGGAAUUUCGAGUGUAGGGGUGAAAUCCGUAGAUAUCCGAAGGAACACCAGUGGCGAAGGCGGCUUUCUGGACCGAUACUGACGCUGAGAUGCGAAAGCGUGGGGAGCAAACA